CUGAAUUUUACGUCUAUAGGAUAUGCGGGUAGAAGUGUCCAGUAAGCAGUUCCUGUACAUACUUCUGAAUGUCGGCAAAGAGGUCUAAGCUAAAAUCAUUCAUUUGUAACUCAUCAACAUGUGCUCACUAUGAGUAACAAGUUAAGAAAAUGCGCUCACUUGGGGAAAGUAGGAAGAAAGCUUGAGGAGAUGAGCGAAGAAGGGCAGAUGAGUGAAGAAGGGUCAGAUAGAAGAUGCAGGCAGGAAGGAAGCUUGUCAGUGGUCGGAGGAGGACCAGGUGAGUGUGUCACUGAGGAGGCCAAGAAAGUUGAAAUUUUCAAGAUGAGAGAGAAUGGUCAAUGGCGGCCAGUGUCACAAAGAAUCCAAGUAAGGGAAGACCAGAAACAUGUCCACAGGAUUUGGCAGGUGAGCCUUGCCACAGCAAUUUCAGCUAAGUAAUGAGAACAGAAGCCUGGCUGAGAGAGAUUAAGAACGGACUUUACUGGAAGAUGAGAAAGAGCACCAUGAAGCAAAGUGAUAACACAAGGAGAAUGCAGCUCUGUCCUGGAAGGAGGGUUGACGACUGACAGAUGAUACAUGUUGAGUCAAUGGAAUGAGGCAGUUGCAGGCUAUUGUUGGAACAAAAGGAGGUCAAGUUUUAUUCUUUUCUCCUGCUGGGACAGAAGGAGUUGGUCACAACUUUUCUUUAAAAAAAAAGGAAAAGAGGAAUGCAUUCCUAAAUCAAGGCUUCCUGGGGCAGCGAGAACAAUUGCAGCACUCCUCAGCUACACUAUCUCUGUUAGUGGACAAACGCUGCUAACUUUUUAAGCUGAACUUGGAAUCUUCUUGGGCUUGAGCUGUCACUCUAAGAAAGUUCUUUAAAAUGCAGAUUAGCCACAGGCAUCUCAUUUUAUUAAUUUCCUCUUGGAAAUAACAAAAUGGCUAUGAAAAGACAAAACUGUGUACAUUCAUAAGGUUUUAUAUGGAGGUCUGUAGAAUGCAAUGAUCACGAAGUAAGUUUCCUAUCUGUAAAAAUGGCCUUGGAGUUCUUACCAGCUUGCUCUUCAAAACAAAAAAUAAAAAUAAAUAAAUUGUAUCAAAUCCAUCUUGGAGCAGAAGGUAAAUUGGAAAAAUACAAAAAGGCUGAGGAUUAAAUAAAUGCACUUCUUUGAAACAGAUGAUGACAUUUUCUAGGCCCAAUUCAGAUGAUGCAGAGCUUCCUUUUGCAAAGCAGCACGCUACGCAACAAAUGGCCUGACGGGCCUUUGGGUUUAAAUCUCAGCUGACAUCUCUCACCAAGUGUGGAAGAAUGAUUGCAUUAAUUCCCCAGUUCCUUGCUCCUUCCUGUAUCCAGGUUCUGACUACCAUCCCAGCCAUGUUACUUUCUUUGACCAAAGGGAUGUUAUCAAACAUGUCACAAGCAAAGAGAUUAGAAACUGUGAGUUUCCAUUUGUGUCUUUGCCCUCAACGACGGCCAUAAAAAUAUGCCAGAGCUAGUCUACUGAAUGAUGAGAGACAACUGGAACAUAGGUGAGAUCACCUGAUCAUCUCAUCCUAAACAAUCCUAAUCUGCUGACAGUCAGCUGACUUCCAGGCAUGUCAGGGAGCCCAGCUCAGACCAGAAGAACUGCCCAGCUGAGCUCAGCCUAAAUCACUAACCUGCAGACUUGUGAGCUGAAUAAACACUUAUUGUUCCAAGCCACCAGGUUUUGUGGUUAUUUAUUAUGAAGCAUUAUUGUGGCAAAAGAUAACUUAUAUACUACAUGAUACUGG
rnacentral:lncRNA from 10 species